GUGACGUCAUAAGGCCGCGCCGCUCCCGCACUGUGAUUCGACCGGAGAAAGGAUAAAGUGUCCAAACACAGAGAAAAACUCCUGCUGAAGCGACUGAUCUCCACACAGUUAUAAAGAUGGCGUUUAUUAAAGAGGAGAGUGAAGAUGUGAAGAUUGAAGAAACAUUCAAACAGGAAGAUCUGCAGGAACAAACAGAGCUAAUUGAAGAUAAUGAGAUGAGGAAAGAGGAGGAAGAUCAUGUCAAAAUUGAGGAAAAAACUAAUUUACAGACUGAAAGUAUUUUGAAAAGGAGAGACAGGAAUCGUUUCACCUGCACGCAGUGUGGAAAGAGUUUUGGAAGAAAAGGCAAUCUUAAUAUUCACAUGAUGAUCC